UUAGUGCUUGCUAGUUCUUUUUUCAGAAAGAUUUUGUGUUUUCUUUUCCCGUGUUUGUGUCUCUGAUGCCAAUAUUAAUAUAAUAACAUCUUUGGCAAAGCGAUCAAAUUUCAGGCGGUGGUUGUACUAUAAGUUGGUGCUGUGCUAUUGUGGGUGGGUGUUAAUAGUUUGUAUUGCUGUAUUAAGACGUGACAUCCAUUUUAAAGUUUGGGAUUAAGACUUUUUUUGGAAACAUACUACUUGUGUGAUUUACUACUGCAAUUGUUGCGGAUUUGUACCAUACUCGUCAGUGGAAAAGGCUUAAGGCAGAAAAGCUACGGCGACAGGAACUGUUAACUAAUUGAAGUUUGAUACGAAAGCCCACAGAUUCAACGAGAAGGAAUGGCAAU